UGUGUCGGUGACUCGAGGCCGCCUCCGGGCGGGCAGCCGGUUGUAGGGGCAGCGGGGCGAGCGGCGGCCGCGGGAGAAACGGGCGGGGGGGCUCCCGCGGUCUGUCCCUUCCCGCGACGCCGGGGCCACCCUCGUGCAGAUCGCGCCGUGUCACCUCCCUGAUGGCAACCACCACCCGCCCCUCCAGAAAAGUCGUCAGCCCGGUACCGCCGCUUCCCCCGUUGUCCACGGCAACCGGCGUAUCUGAUUGAACCUCGUUGUAGGCAGUGACACCCGCGUAAUGGAUCAUCCUGUCAGUGCUUUUUUAUCACAGGCAUUUAUUUUGGUCACGGCUGGUGAUAACUUUGCUGUUUAUCCCUUGUGUCGUUACGGGCCCGGCCGCGAUCUCCCUUCCGCCCCUCCUCCCCGGCGGGCGAGCCGGGGGUGGGGGCGCUCCAGGACGGCGGGGACUGCGGCUCCCCUCUCCCGCCCGGGCGCCGCUGCUAGGGGCCCCUCCGACCCCCCCCCCCCGUCCCGGGCUCCCGCGGCGGCUGGGGACGGAUCGAUCUGUUUGGCUUGGUGAAGCGCCCUCCCCCGCUCGCCCCGGCCUCCCCGGGGCCGGGUUAUCUUGGGUCAUGCGGAGCUGGCGCGGAGCGCCGGGUGCGGUAAGAGGCUCCGGUGGAGCCCUGGUGCAGGAGGGAGCCGGGGGAGGAAAGUGCCGUCCGCAGUUCUCCAUCAAUCCAGACACUUCAAAAGUAAAUAAAGCAGGGCAGGGCAGGGCCUCCAGGGAGGGGAGAGAAGAGGCCUCUGACAGGCGAUUGUCCAGGGCGGAGCCAGGGCUAUUUCCAGCCCGGGAAUAACAACACUUGGGCUGCGGUGACUCCGACCCGCGUGUCCAGGAAAGACCGGAUCGGGGUGUUUGUUUUGCUUUUAAUUAUUAUUUUGACGGCGGGCUGGCGCGGCUCGGGCUAACAAUGAUCCCAAGCCGUGCGAGAGGGGCAGCGGGGGGGGGAGGAGGGGGGAGACCAGCGAGGGGGCGGGCGCCGGCCCAGGUUUGCUGCCCCCGCUGAAGGUCGGGGCUGGAGUCGCCGGGCCGGGAGGAGCCCGCCGGGGCUGCAGGCGGCGGGCCGGGCCGGGGACGGCCCCGCGGGGAGGCAGGCGGCGCAGCGGGCAGGGAGGGCUGGUGGGGAGCCGGGCCGGAGCCCCCGGCACGCUGCCGGGCGGGGGUGGGAGGCAGCCGUGCUUAUCUGGGUCACUGAGGUUAGAGGGAGCAGCUGAUAGGAACAGAGGAGCUGAGCUCCCGCUGCUGCAGGGAUACGGCCGCGAAACGGGCCAGGCAGGCACCGAGCUGGUGGAAGGGCAGGAGGGAGGGAGGGAGGGAGGGAAAGAGGGAGGAGGAGGCGGCGGCUCGUUCCGGCUCCCGAGCCGAGCCCAGGUGCGCUGUGGUUUCCCUGCGCUCAGCGCUGUGCUCGGCAUCCCCCCUCCCCUCGCUCCCCAUCCCCCGUCCCCCCCCUCGUCGCCCUCCAACGUUUAACCCUUUCCCACCUCCGCGGGGCUGGAGGCUGAGGCGUGCGCUGGCCCGGCCGCGUCCCCUGCGGUUCCCCACUCCCUCCGUGGCAGAGAGUGAUCGCGGGCUCGAAAGAGAUGGUGCAGGGAGCUGCCUCCUUAUCUCGCUCUUCGCUGCCGGUUUAACUCCUUCCUGCAUCCCCAGCACAGCAGCCAAAAGGACCAUCAGGGAACGUGCGGCCCUCUCUGUGCUUGCUUCUUCACGCUCCCACUCCUUCCCCCCCUCCCCUUUUUUCUUUCUUUUUUCUUCCUUUUUUUUUGUUGAAACUCGGCCGCUUCCUUGCACGGCUCCGAAGAUUUAAC